AUACGGAGGAUCCGAGCGUUAUCCGGAUUUAUUGGGUUUAAAGGGUGCGCAGGCGGGAGAUUAAGUCGGCGGUGAAAUUUUGCAGCUCAACUGUAAAAGUGCCUUCGAAACUGGUUUCCUUGAGUGUAGAUGAAGUAGGCGGAAUUUGUGGUGUAGCGGUGAAAUGCAUAGAUAUCACGAGGAACUCCGAUUGCGCAGGCAGCUUACUAAACUACUACUGACGCUCAGGCACGAAGGCGUGGGGAUCAAACAGGAUUAGAUACCCUUGUAGUCCACGCAGUAAACGAUGAUUACUAGCUGUUUGCGAUACAAUGUAAGCGGCUGAGCGAAAGCGUUAAGUAAUCCACCUGGGGAGUACGUUCGCAAGAAUGAAACUCAAAUGAAUUGACGGGG
rnacentral:rRNA from 1 species